rnacentral:sRNA from 1 species
UGAUUUAUCAUAAUAACGUCUUUCCAAUAAAUCAAGUGGGUUAUUGGCUCCCCUGUAGAAUUUUUGUUGUAGAGAUUAUGUUGUAGUUGUGUUGGUUAUAGCUGUAACUUUUAUUGCAGUAGAAUUAUUGCUGUAAGUUUUUAACUUUAAAU